AUAUGCCCAACUGAUCACUGCUGCAACCACUGAGAAGAACACAUUGCUGGACCUCAUUUUCAUCUCUCAACCACAGCACUGUCUCACUUCAGGUGUCAUGAAAACAUACUACAGUUAUCACAAUCCUGUGUACUGUGUAAUCUGCUGCAGCAGUUCAUAAAGAAAUCUGGUGAGUCUUAACAACAUUAAAAAAAAUACUAAGAAUUUGUGACUAAACUAAUGCUUUUUGUUGCAGGAAUGAAGGAAAUUGUUUAAUACCAUUAUGUGUGGAAAGGAAUAAUAUGUUGGGGUUUUUUUGCAGUCACAUGUCACAAAACACACACAUCUUAAAGUGACAAUGGUAAAAUCUAAAAGUUGAGUUGGGGUAUCCUCUUUGCAGCCUGGCUUCACAACCUUGCUGGCUGCCUCAGUCUCUCUAAGACUGUGUGGGAGGGAGGGUGGACCAAGAGGAUACACUGCUCAACAAUUGAUAUGAAUGUUGUAAUGUGUCUAAGAGAAAUUGACUUGCAAGGACAUAUGUUGCUGAGAGUAUUAUGAACAGCAAAUCUCCAAUCUGUUUCAAAAUUAAAUCCUUGGUUAGAAAAAGAACUAAUAAAGAAUAACACACGGCAGCAUAGCAGGUAAAGGUCAUGGGAAUAGCAGGUAAGGGCCAUCAGAAAUAAUCAAAAAGGCUUAAUUGGUAAUUGAUAACGAUGAUGUAAUGGACCAUAUUCGCAGCACAUUUUGGCCUGUACAUUUGUCAGGGUGGGUCUGGGUCAGGGUUGACAAAUGUACAGGCCAAAACUAUUUCAGCAGCUGUAUACAGCUGCCAACAUUUACUGUAGCAAAAAUACAUCAGAAAGAAUGUGUUUCCAAUGUAACACACACUUUCUGAUGUACUACCAUCUACCAGUUGAAACCCCACAUUCCCACCAAAUUUCCCACUACACUCUCUAGCAGUGUGGGUGGCGUUCCCAGAUAUUCUAAAUUAUGCAAGUUUACUGUCCCCCGGAUGGGAGACACAGUGCUCCUCUGUGAGAACACCAGUCCACCUUGGUCCUAUAUUCUUCAAUACUGUGAGGAUCAACUCAUGACCAUCAACAACAUGGUGCCACAGACGAGGCAGCUGCACCGACUUAACCGUCAGUCGACAAUGGAGCCAUCACUGCUGGAUCACAAAGACAUGUGCUUCUCCUGUCAGUGCAAAGAUUUCUCCUAAGCAUAAGGUCUGCUUCCGUUGUGAUCCAACCACUCCACAGCUGAGACCUCCAGGCUGUCCAGAGAGCUAAAAAUGCAUAAGACAUUCAGCCCUUCAAAACUUCUCUGUGUAAGGUGUCUCUGGAGGAAAAGUGGAUUUCUGCCCUGCAGCAGUGUUCAAGGACGAGCUCCAUUCCCCGGCCUCUUAACGCCUCUGUGUUGGUGACGCUGUCCUCACGCCAAACGUGAUCAUAUAAUUGGAAGUAGCAGUUCUUCCAGCCAUUGAACAUGUCAAAGGUUGUGAACUCACACCCAUUUACAUCUUCACACUGACAGUGUGCUCUGUUGACAGCUGUGGUUUGUGGCAACAGUGAACAGACUGAACAAACAGCAUCAUGACAGAAUCACUACUGAAGAUUACACUACUGACCCAUGGACCAAAUGAACUAAAUCUGAAGUAUAGGACACCAGUUUAGUGUGUUUUGUUAAUAAUAUUUAUCUUAUAUGAUUCAUUGAAUGUUUGUUUUUUUUACUUUGAAUUUCAUGACAACAUGUUAUUUUUUUUUAUUUUUAACUUCAUCCUUCCCUUUCCAUCUUUACCUGUUGGCUA